UUGGAGGGCAAGUCUGGUGCCCGCAGCCGCGGUAAUUCCAGCUCCAAUAGCGUAUAUUAAAGUUGUUGCAGUUAAAAAGCUCGUAGUUGAAUUUCGGGAUCAAGGGAUCGGUCAUGCCUUGGUAUGUACUGGUCUUAUUGGUUCUCACCUUCUAAAGAACCAUGAUGUCAUUCAUUUGAUGUUAUGGGGAAUUAGGACUGUUACCUUGAAAAAAUUAGAGUGUUUAAAGCAAGCUUACGCUUGAAUACAUUAGCAUGGAAUAAUGAAAUAGGACAUCAGAUUCUAUUUUGUUGGUUUCUAGGAUCGAUGUAAUGAUUAAUAGGGAUAGUUGGGGGCAUUAGUAUUCAAUUGUCAGAGGUGAAAUUCUUGGAUUUAUUGAAGACUAACUACUGCGAAAGCAUUUGCCAAGGAUGUUUUCAUUAAUCAAGAACGAAAGUUAGGGGAUCGAAGACGAUCAGAUACCGUCGUAGUCUUAACCAUAAACUAUGCCGACUAGGGAUCGGAUGAUGUUAAAUCACUAGUGAAUUCGCGGCCGCCUGCA
rnacentral:rRNA from 1 species